rnacentral:tRNA from 1 species
GGUUGUAGCUCAUUGGUAGAGCGCUUGCCUUGCACGCAUGAGGCCCUGGGUUCAAUCCUCAGCACCA